AUUGCUUCUUGACCUUUGGCUAAGAUCAGGUAUAGUAUUGGUUGUGAUCAGUUUAAUAUCUGAUAUGCCCAUUUCUGAGGACAGCAUAUUAAAUUGACUUUUGGGACAGCGAGGUAGAAAAGAGAUUUGCUCUUUUUACUCAUGCAUCAGCCUGGUAUUGCAGUACUUCCAGGAAUGAUACACUGCUC
rnacentral:snRNA from 1 species